rnacentral:rRNA from 1 species
UAGGGAAUCUUCGGCAAUGGGGGCAACCCUGACCGAGCAACGCCGCGUGAGUGAAGAAGGUUUUCGGAUCGUAAAGCUCUGUUGUAAGAGAAGAACGUGUGUGAGAGUGGAAAGUUCACACAGUGACGGUAACUUACCAGAAAGGGACGGCUAACUACGUGCCAGCAGCCGCGGUAAUACGUAGGUCCCGAGCGUUGUCCGGAUUUAUUGGGCGUAAAGCGAGCGCAGGCGGUUUAAUAAGUCUGAAGUUAAAGGCAGUGGCUUAACCAUUGUUCGCUUUGGAAACUGUUAAACUUGAGUGCAGAAGGGGAGAGUGGAAUUCCAUGUGUAGCGGUGAAAUGCGUAGAUAUAUGGAGGAACACCGGUGGCGAAAGCUGCUCUCUGGUCUGUAACUGACGCUGAGGCUCGAAAGCGUGGGGAGCAAACAGG